UCCUCCAAUUGAGCACAGUUGUUUAUUUAGUCCUAAUAAGGGUCCAUUAUACAUUAAUCAGUGCCGUGAUUCCUCAUCUUAUUGCAUUAACUAUCCUAUAUGCAACUCUUUCAAUAUAGUCCCUACUUCAAUCACCUCAAUCUCAUCUUUGUUUCAGAACUUGAUGGAUCAUGGAUGAACUUAACUCAGUUGUUUGUGGGAUAAACGUUUUUCAUUCCUUCUUUCCUACCAAUUUUCAGCUCUUGCCCACAAAAAUUGCUUAUGGGUUGGAAUAAAUGAAGUCUCAACUUAAAGUUGCAGCUGUUCUUGUUAUUAGCUUGCUAUGGAUUCAGCACUCAUUUUGUGCAGAUGAACCUUCUGAGACUUACCUAAACAAGUGGAAAUGUAGAUGUUCUUCUUUCCAAAGGAACCAUAGAUACUCUCUUUCUAAUUGUUCUCACUCAUGUGAUUGCCAUUCAGAUGCUGAAGAUAGUGAAUCCUCAUGGACAUGCAUAUGUGAUACCAAUGGAUUCCCUAAAGUGGCAGCAGGUGGCCAUAGCUCUAGUUGCUUUAAAUCCUGCAACUGCACCUGGGGAAGCAAAACUGUUGCAUUAGGUUCAAAGAAACACAUUUCAACAAGGACUGUGAUAGUAGUUGUGCUUUUAAUAUGUGUUGUAUGCAGCGCUCUUGCAUUUAUUGCCUCAGUUCUAUACUAUGUCUGCAGAAGAGACAGCUGUUCAAUUCAAUCACCAAUGGUUUUAUCAGAUAAAGAAACAAGUUACAAUAGUACCUCCAACUUAAUUAGACAUAGAACAUUUUCAGUUCCAGAAACAAAAGCUGCUAUUCAUUUUCCAGUGAGUCAUAGUGCAGGAUGCUUUCAGAAGGCCUCUUUCUUGUUUGGGAGCCAUAGAGAAACUUUUCAUGGAAGUAUCAUUCGAUUUUCGUUCUCUGAGCUGGAAAAUGCCACUGGAAACUUCUCAACUUCCAACAUAAUUGGACUUGGUGGAUGUAGUUAUGUAUACCGCGGACGACUUAAAGAUGGAAGUAACGUGGCAGUUAAGCGAUUAAAAGAUGAAGGAGGACCUGAAGCAGACACUGAAUUUUUCACUGAGAUUGAACUAUUGUCUAGGCUUCAUCAUUGUCAUCUGGUGCCAUUGCUUGGAUACUGCUCAGAAUUAAAAGGGAAAAAUGUUCAUAGGUUACUAGUGUUUGAGUACAUGCCUAAUGGGAAUUUGAGGGACCGUUUGGAUGGAGUUUUUGGAAAGAACAUGGGUUGGUCUACUCGGGUAAAUAUCGCAUUGGGAGCUGCCAGGGGUUUGGAGUAUCUCCAUGAAGCAGCUGCUCCAAGAAUUCUGCAUAGAGAUGUCAAAUCAACCAACAUUCUUCUUGAUGAAAAUUGGCAUGCAAAAAUAACUGAUCUUGGUAUGGCUAAAAACUUGAUAGCUGAUGACAUACUCAGUUGUCCUGGCUCUCCAGAGAGAAUGCAGGGCACAUUCGGGUAUUUCGCACCUGAGUAUGCAAUUGUUGGGAGAGCUUCUCUUGAAUCUGAUGUAUUUAGUUUUGGUGUGGUUCUUCUUGAGCUUAUCAGUGGCCAGCAACCAAUCCUUAGAUCAGCAGGCAGAGAAGAAAGCCUUGUUAUAUGGGCCACUCCUCUCUUGCAAGAUAGCAGGAGACUAAUCACAGAGUUGAUCGAUCCGCGAUUGAAAGGAAACUUCCCAGAAGAAGAGGUGAAGGUAAUGGCAUACUUAGCAAAAGAGUGUUUGCUGUUGGAUCCUGACACAAGACCAACCAUGAGUGAGGUUGUUCAAAUUCUUUCAAGUAUUUCCCCUGGAAAAUCUAGAAGAAGAAUAAGCAUUCCACUUAGCCUUUUUCAGGAAUCAGAGGAUUCAGAGAAGGCAAGGCAAGCUUCUUCGUCGGCCCGAUUCGCUUAUUGUAAUUUCAUGUCACAAGAUACUGAAAACAAUCAUGUUGUUGGGAAUGAAAAUGAAAAUGUAGAUGCAUUUUCAACUGAGUAUAUGGAGAGUUUGAUCCUCUUGACUUCAAAAAUUCCUGAGAGCUGGCAUGCAUCAGAAGAGGAAAUGGUAGACCUAACUGAACCUCGGUUCCAAUCGUUUUCCUUGAUGACAUUAACAUAGAAAGGUUCAGAAUACUGAAGACUGAAGAAUGUAGAGGGUGCUGAUCUAAAUUCAUUCACUUUCCUUUGUAAUGUAGAGCACAUAAGAGUUGUUUAUAGCUAAGAACUUUGAAUAUGUUCCUUGUAUUCUUGUACAGAAAAGAUAAGCAUAGGUAAUUGUGAUUCCAGUUCUACUUUAUUUGUAGAAGAAUUGGAUGUGAUGAACUUGUAACAAUCAGCAUUCAACAAUAGAAAUAAGCAUUUUGCAUUUGUAUUCAGCAGUAGUACUGAUAUAAGUGCUAGGUCUAUUUAUUUGUACCCAAUUUUCACUCAACAUUUCUUUGGUUUUUUUUUCCCACUAGUUCUAGUCUUAACCAAUGAAUAAGGAUUGACUUUCAAGUGUUUAAAUAGAAAGACUUAACACUAUUUUGUUAGCUGCAUUUUGAAUCCAAAGUUUGAAUGGUAGAUGAAGGUAAGACUUGAGGAAAGGAUGGUAAGAAACCUAUCAACUAUGCUUACUUUUUCUUUGUUGAGAAGUAACCAUUGUUGUAACUUGUAAGUAGGUGAUGGAUCCUCCUCCUCCAAGCACACUAUUGCUAGGUCAAGCUCCCCCUGAUGGAGGAUUCUUGGAUACAUGCUUAUGGUUUCUGUGCUGCUGUGGUUUAUUCAGUUGCUGCUUCCCUCCUCUUUAUGAACCAGGGCCUCCUCCUCUCUAGUUCUUAGCUUGUUGCAUUUUUUUUUUCUUAGAAUUUUCUUUAUAUGUGUUCUACUUCAUCAGAAAUAACAACUUUUAUAUACUAGUAUAAUACUACUUUAUGGACUUAUUUAUAUUUGAAUGUAUAAUUUUUAAAGUCAUACAAAUUCUGAACCAAAACCACAUGGUUCUGAAGAGGUGUGAAACCAAAAUCAUUGUGAGAUGGGUCCUCUGAGUAUGGAUACACACUGUAUUUUGGGGUUAACAAAUUUGAUAGAUGGAUCUUCUGUAAGGUACAACCAAUGCCACUUG